GAGGGGAGGCCGGAUCCUGGGCUCUGUCCCAGGGCCCAGUGCUCCUGGGCCUGCGCUGUUGGAUUCGCUUUCCCGGUGGCUGCACAGCCUCCU
rnacentral:pre_miRNA from 1 species